rnacentral:rRNA from 3 species
UACAGAGGUCCCAAGCGUUGUUCGGAUUCAUUGGGCGUAAAGGGUGCGUAGGCGGUGGGGUAAGUUGGAUGUGAAAUCUUGGGGCUUAACCUCAAAAUUGCAUUCAAUACUGCUCCGCUCGAGUUCUGUAGAGGAGAUUGGAAUUUACGGUGUAGCAGUGAAAUGCGUAGAUAUCGUAAGGAACGCCAGUGGCGAAAGCGAAUCUCUGGGCAGCAACUGACGCUGAGGCACGAAGGCCAGGGGAGCAAACGGG